rnacentral:lncRNA from 1 species
UGUAGAGGUCUUGGUGACAAGAAAUGAACUUGCACCGUAUUGUGAACUAAGGCCUUGGGCCUAUCUAUACGAGUAAUGGUUAAUUUGUGUUGGCAAAAACCAUGUGGUUGUCUAUGGUGUUAAUAUUUAGCGUUGGUGGCUAGAAUUACUAAAUGGGUUAAGUCCUUAUGUAUUGAAUGGUAUGGAUGUUGAUACAUGAUUAAGGAGGG